rnacentral:rRNA from 1 species
GACGAACGCUGGCGGCGUGCUUAACACAUGCAAGUCGAACGAGAUCCAAUGUGUAGCAAUACACAGGAAGAUCUAGUGGCGAACGGGUGAGGAACACGUGAGAAACGUACCCCAGACUUUGGGAUAACAGUCCGAAAGGACUGCUAAUACCAAAUAACGUCGGAAGUCCGCAUGGACAUCUGACGAAAGGGAUUCCGGUUUGGGAGCGUCUCGCGGACCUAUCAGCUAGUUGGAGGGGUAACGGCCCACCAAGGCAACGACGGGUAGCUGGGCUGAGAGGAUGGUCAGCCACACUGGGACUGAGACACGGACCAGACUCCUACGGGAGGCAGCAGUGGGGAAUCUUGCGCAAUGGGCGAAAGCCUGACGCAGCAACGCCGCGUGCGGGAAGAAGGCUUUCGGGCUGUAAACCGCUUUCAGUAGGAACGAAACUGACGGUACCUACAGAAGAAGGAGCGGCCAACUAUGUG